rnacentral:rRNA from 1 species
UACGUAGGGUGCGAGCGUUAAUCGGAAUUACUGGGCGUAAAGAGCUCGUAGGUGGUUUGUCGCGUUGUUCGUGAAAACUCACAGCUCAACUGUGGGCGUGCGGGCGAUACGGGCAGACUUGAGUACUGCAGGGGAGACUGGAAUUCCUGGUGUAGCGGUGGAAUGCGCAGAUAUCAGGAGGAACUCCGGUGGCGAAGGCGGGUCUCUGGGCCGAGUAUCGACGCUGAGGAGCGAAAGCGUGGGGAGCGAACAGG